rnacentral:lncRNA from 1 species
GUGCCCCUAAUAUAUGACCUGUUACACGUUACACGUGAGCUGAAGACACUGUUUAUUACUACAAAUGCAAAGAACUGAGGAGAGAAAGAGAGAGAGAGUGUGAUAAUAAUGCAAAGAAUCAAGAAUGCUCAACUACUAUUUUUCUUUCCUGCAAAAACCCAAAGCGCUUAGAUCCAUUUUAUAUGUUAAAAGAUCGUCUCGUUUUAAAAAG